UUUUUUCAACCUGACAACUUUUAUUUUUCAUCAUCAAUAAUUCAAAAUGUGGGGAUACAGAAAAGAAAGGGGGUGGGGGGAAAGCUAGUCUUCAUUGUACAAGCAUAUAUGUCACAACUUUACUUGGUUUUCUUGUUAAUUUGUUAAAGUGUAGUCAUGCAUGGUGCAGUGAAGAAAGGCAACAAAUUGGAUGUUGGGGAACCGAUUCGGUGAGGCUCGUGUCAUGCCUGAGUCAUUCAAUGUCAUACAGGAAAUGGGUGUCACAUAGGUAGCACUGUUCCUUCUCAUACAUAGAUACAAGGUUUAAGUCUAGUAUUCCACGGAAUAAUUAUAUAACCAGAAACUAGGCGUAGGAAGGGUGGGUACAGAUUUCUAGACUACUGUCUGUGGAGCUGCAGCAAUACCAUAUGUUGGUCAGUUAGUUAUGCAUACUUAUAACUGUAGGGUUUGGAUGGGCUCAGCUGUCUGAUCCUGAUGUGCAGUAUUAUGUUAUUGAAAUGCUAUUGUGG